rnacentral:tRNA from 1 species
GGAGAGAUGGCUCAGUGGUUAAGAGCACUGGCUGCUCUUCCAGAGGUCCUGAGUUCAAUUCUCAGCAACCUCA